AAAUCAGUUGACUAUAAAUAUUGCAUUAUUCAACAAUCUGUUUUCAACUAUAGUAUACCAAGAAGCGCAGUGCUAGUUCAGCAACACAGAAAUAUACCUCAGAAGAAUCAACUUUCACCGCUGACCAGUGCGGUCGAGAAAAUUUCCGGCGAAUCCAAUGCAGCAACAACGUCCACUUGCAGUACCGCAAUACAAAGCCACAAAGCGAUCUAACAGCGUGGGAAAUUUUAUCAUCGCAAAAUUUUAUAUCAGCACAACAGCUAUACCAAAAGCGAUACCACGUCGAUGGCCGAAAUGAUUUUUGGUUCUGCACCUAUAGUCUUCCAGGACAGCAGUUUGAAGGUACAUUGAUUAAAAACUCGAAAAACCAUUAAGUAUGCUUACGUGUUUCAGUAGCCAACAGUAGCAGCAACAGCAGUAAAAAAGUAUCCACUUCCACCUACUUGGGCUAUUAACUGCCAAGUAUCGGUCAGAAUGCACUAUACAACGGCCGACAUACGUCGGAAAGUGAUCGUAGCUCUAUAGGUACAACGUCACUACGGUCGUUUACUGUUACUUCGUCCACUUUGACGUAAUAUGAUACUUCGUACAACCACAGACAAAGGCCACCACUGCCAAUCGAGUUUGCGCAUUUGGAGCAUCUGGCAGAUCCGAGACUUUCAACCAAAAGUGGCCUUGACUCAGGGUAUGGUGGAACGGAACCUUGGGCGUUUUCAUCAAGUCAACCACGCCAUCGCACCACAACAGUCUAGCAUCAAUUUCUAGUGAUUUCGAAGACUUAGUUUAGAUACCAGUAUUGAUUGAGCCAGUGGUAAAAAUCGACGGAAUAGUGAAACCAUAGUACUGACUAGACAAAAAGCGUUUAGCGGGGAAGUUCUUUCCACUGCAACCAAUUAUCGCGGGAGACCUUUGCACAAAAAGGCACGUCUAGGAAUUGUGCUGUGCGUUCAACUAAACGAUGACAUGCUGCAGGAAAUUGAAGCAUUCAGCUCGGAACACAUGAGUAUAUUUGAAUCAAUGCUGUGUCGUUUAAGAAUGGCGGCGGAAAACGCAAGCUACAGGUAGCCGCAGUUACUCCAGAUAAUGCUGGCUGCCGGCAUAACGCAGCAGUGCCCAGUGGAUUUUUUUACUGUACCCAAACUGGUAAGUCCCAUGUGGCUAACGCUAAGCAGUGGUGCGUGCACUCUUGGAACUCAAAGCAGUACAUGUUCUAAUCGGGCUGCGCUUAAAAUUGAUAAUAAUUUUAUGAACGAUCUUUGUUACCUGCUAUUGCUGGCCGACAUUAAGGAUACACAUUUUUUCAUCAGCGCACUACUAACGGCGAUAUUAAAGUACUACCUGGGCUGGGUGAGUACCAUUGCCCCUGUGAGUGGUUCCGCUUACGAAGCAGAUACAGAUUGUGCUACAAUACAGCGAUAGAAGGAGAAGCGGUGCAAACUAACUACCAAUCACCCGUACAUCGUACUGUGGGUCCAAUGUAGCUAUUUGUAUGGAACCGUCGGACACCCGGUGAAACUGUCGAGAACAAUGAUCUGCAGAAGCCCCCAAUUGAGCAAUACCAUGGAUAAAAUUCUAAAUGAGCUAUCUUACGUCGUAAGAUGUAGCGAGAUCAAGCGGGUUGUCCUCGCAGAGGCUUUCGACGAGUAUAAAGCUGAGCAGGCAUUCGCUGCGCAAAAGAUUAUAAAUAAUUAUUCGCUCCUUAUGUUAAUUGUUAACUUUAAUCAAAAAUGCUUUUCCUUGACCUGAUGUACAGUGUAAAUUAACAGAUUUUCGUACGUAAUAAAACUGCAAAAUUACGAAAAAUACAAAUUAUA